CUGCUGUGAUGUAUGAAUUUCUUCACCUGAAGAUUUUUGAUGAACAAAAAAUCGAGCUUUUUAAUACUGAGCAGC
rfam:Branchiostoma floridae genomic scaffold BRAFLscaffold_200, whole genome shotgun sequence.